CGCGCAAGGGACAUGCCAGGCUCCCGGGACUCGGCGGGUAGUUUGCAAGUAGCAGUGUAUUUGUCGUGCCUGCUCCUCGGAGCCGGGAAAACGCUGGUAGCUCUCGCCAGGACACCAGAAGAGACUCCUGCGGCUCUCCGGCUGUCUCGGAACCGUAGGUCCACAAAAGACACGCUGGUUUCCCCGAGCAGGGAUCGGCAGGCACUCAUUACAUGCUUUUUGAGUAGACAAGCGACCAUGAGCGUGAAUUCCACUGGAGAAGAAGGCCUACAGGGGAGGAGUGUUAUUAAAAAAAACCGUCAAAUUCAAGUAUGAGUUGGGGAAGGCCUACGUAGCCUCACACCAGGAACUAAAAUAGAUAACAUGGUGUAUACUUGAAGGUGGACCCCGUAAACUAUGAGUCCUGAAAGCAAAAAGGAUUUUUUGGACGGAAGCCCGCCCCACACUCCACCCCGCGCUCCCAGUGUGUGCACACGAAUACUCUCCACCCAGUUAAAUCCCCCAAAGGUCCGCCUAUUCUCCAUCUGAGGCCCGACCACGGACCACUUAGAGCUUUUUUGCAUUCUUCUUCCAGCCAAACUCCCACAGUAAGAAUGUGGUUACAGGGGACGUUAACACAGCGAUUCAAGACUUAAGACAAAGGUUCCUGGUGUCUUAACGGGAUUCAUACCAUUGCCCCCUGGGAGGAGGCUGUCCCCUGCUUGCUGGUCAGAGGCACACUGCAGCCUGUGAACUUAGCCUAUUCAGGAACUCUCCUGCAGGCACACCCUGUGCCCAGCCUACAGUGCCCAGGUCACACUUCUCCUGGAGGAGGCCUUGAUAUGCUGUUGCCUGUCUGUGAGACACAGCAUGUCUAACGGCAGUGCAGACACAAACCAAGACGCUGAAGAUAAUGUGGCCAGACAGACUCUCUGGCUGUUUAAACGCUGUGGUUUGUGGGCCCUUGAUUCUCCCCUUGCCAGUGCAGCAGAAGACCCUCGCAGGGGACAGAGACUUGAGUGGGAAUUACACAAUUGUGUAAAGUGGAGGCCGAGAUUGAAGGUGAGGAUGCACCAUGGAGAGGAGCUAGAAGAGGAAUAGUGCACCCACCCAAUGAAUGCCAACAACGUUUAGACAUCCAGGAUCUCUUGUAGCAUUUGGAGGGGCAGAUAUUUCUGAGGACACCCAGUACAGAAUCCAGUCAAGCAUAGGAGCUCUGAGGAGUGCCUGUCUUGGAGGCCAGGACUCAUCCAGGCCCAUCAGGAACACACACACUGGACAGGUGCAGGGUAGCCUUGUCCACUUGGAGGAUAUCAACACGGGAGUCCACACUUUCCUGGGAAUUCCCUUUGCCAAGCCACCUGUAGGACCUCUGCGGUUUGCUCCUCCUAAGCCCCCUGAACCAUGGAGUGGUGUGAGGGAUGGAACUUCCCAUCCUGCCAUGUGUCUACAGAAUAUCAGUGUAUUGAGUGCAUUAGCCCAGACCCCAUUCACAAGCACCCCACCUCUUCUUUCUAUGUCUGAAGACUGCCUGUACCUCAACAUCUACUCACCUGUUCAUGCUUCUGAGGACUCCAACCUCCCUGUGAUGGUAUGGAUCCAUGGUGGAGGACUGGUUCUGGGCAUGGCUUCUAUGUAUGAUGGAUCGAAGCUAGCAGCCAUUGAGGACAUAGUGGUGGUCACUAUCCAGUACCGCCUGGGUAUCCUGGGUUACUUCAGCACUGGGGAUGAGCAUGCCAGAGGCAACUGGGGCUACCUGGACCAAGUGGCCGCCCUGCGCUGGGUCCAGCAGAACAUCGCCCACUUUGGAGGCAACCCUGACCAGGUCACUAUUUUCGGCGAGUCAGCAGGUGGCGCAAGCGUGUCUUCACUUGUUUUGUCCCCAAUGUCCAAAGGACUCUUCCACAGAGCCGUUAUGCAGAGUGGAGUGGCCCUGCUGCCUGGUCUCGUCUCCCAGUCUGCUGAGGUGGUCUACACAAUGGUGGCCAACCUCUCUGGAUGUAAUCAGAUGGAUUCAGAGUCCCUGGUGGGCUGUCUGAGAGGCAAGAGUGAAGAGGAGAUUCUGGAUAUCACCAAGGUCUUCAAGAUCAUCCCUGCUGUGGUGGAUGGAGAGUUCUUUCCCAGGCAUCCUGAGGAGCUGUUGGUCUCCGCUGAUUUUAGACCUGUCCCCAGCAUCAUAGGUGUCAACAAUGAUGAGUAUGGCUGGGACAUCCCAACUUACCUGUGCAACAUUGAUACUGGGGAAAAAGUGGACAGAGAGACCAUUCAGGCUGUUCUACAGAGCACACCAACAAAACUGAUGAUGCCUCCUGAUUCUGCUGACAUUCUGGUAGAGGAGUAUUUGGGAGACACUGAAGACCCUGAGAUUCUCCUAGCACAGUUCAAGGAGAUGAUGGAAGACUCCGUAUUUGUGGCCCCUGCCUUGCAAGUAGCACAUGCUCAGAGUCCUCUUGCCCCUGUCUACUUCUACGAGUUCCAACACUCACCCAGCUUCUUCAAAGAUGUCAGACCAUCUCAUGUGAAGGCUGACCAUGGUGAUGAGGUUUUCUUUGUCUUUGGAUCCUCCUACUGGGGCAGCAAAUUUGACUUCACUGAGGAGGAGGAGCUGCUGAGCAGGAAGAUAAUGAAGUACUGGGCCAACUUUGCAAGACAUGGGAACCCCAACAGCAUGGACCUGCCCCACUGGCCUGUGUUUACCCAGGAUGAGCAGUACCUGCAGCUGGACAUCCAGACUACUGUGGGCUAUGCUCUGAAGGCCAGCAGGAUGCAGUUCUGGACCAAGACUCUGCCUCAGAAGAUCCAGCAGCUGAAGGAUGUUGAGAACAAGCACGCAGAGCUAUAGCAUGUUAUGCACCAUAGUGGAGUGUCCUGAGUAGAAGUGGAGUCAACCUGAGGAUAUUCAAGAUGCCAUGAGAAAAUCAUAAUAAGCUGCAAGCUGAGUGUUGUGACAGAUGUGUGGCCCCACUACCAGCAAGACUGAGGUGGAGGAUCUAAUGAACUCAGAAAUGCAAAGGUAACUCAUUCUAAAUAUUGACACUAUAUGUAAAUAUAUAAUAACUAUACAGAUGAGUAUGUAUAUCACUAUGUAUUUAAGUAUGUAUCAUAAACAGUAUGGCUUAUAAACAAUAGAAAUUGGUUUCUAGAUUUGGUAAUCAUGAAGUUCAGGGUUAGAAAGCCAUUAGAUUUGGCAUAUGGAGAGGGGUAACUCUCUGACUCAAAGUUUGCCCCUUAUGUCCUCCUUGAGUAAAAUAGACAAACAAUGGUGUUAAUAGCCUGGCCAUUACCUAGUGGAUCCAAUCUUAUAAUCAUGACAUUGGAUAUCAGGCUACAACAUACAAGUCUGAGCCACAAAACCUUUCAGAAUAUAGCAUUAAUGUCCUCACAUCAGCCAGCAAGUUUGCCAACAACUGAAAACCUCAUUGUCUGUUGUCUCCAUAAUUUGUCACAAAUGAUCGAUGCUGUAACAAUUCAAUUUAUUUUUGUCCUCAAAUGGGGAAAGGAACUUUUUUUUUCAAGUGAGAUACAUGUCUUGGCAUGUUCAUUUGUGUUUUGAUCCUGGGAAAGUGUGUGUGUGUGUGUGACAAGAAGAACCACUUUAGUUCCUUGCUGUCUGCUUCCAUCAAGGUUUAUUUUUAUUCCAAGGGCUCUACAAAUGUGAUGAGACCCUAUUUGCAUGAUCACAGCAUAGAUCUGUGAAGAUGUUUGACUGUGGGUUGUGUAGUGGGGUAUGAACUGUUCAGCAGAAAAAAUGGUCUGCCUGAUCACUGCAUGGAGGGCCCUUUGGCCUUUCUCAGUUCCAGGCUACUUCUUGCUUUCUUCUGGAACUCAAAUUCUCUUUGGUCCUCUAGAUCAUUAUUAUUUUUUCUUUUUUUUUGUGGGUUUUAAAAAUAUUUAUCUAUUUAUUUAUUUAUUUGUUUGUUUGUUUGUUUUUUCCGAGACAGGGUUUCUCUGUAUAGUUUUGGUGCCUGUCCUGGAUCUUGUUCUGUAGACCAGGCUGGCCUCAAACUCAUAGAGAUCCACCUGGCUCUGCCUCCCGAGCGCUGGGAUUAAAGUUGCGUGCCAUCACUGCCCAGUUUGUGUGUUUUUUAAAAAUGUUUCUUUUUUACUUAAGAAAUUUUAAAAAUUCAUUUUACAGACCAAUCACAGUUUCCCCUCUCAUCCUUCCUCCCACUCCCCUAUGGCUUUCCCUCACCCAACCCACUCCCUAUCUCUCCUCCAAAAAGGUAAGGCUUCCUGUGGGGAGUCAGCAAAGCCUGGUACAUUCAGUUGAGGCAGGAUCAAGCUCCUUUCCCCUGAAUCAAGGCUGUGCAAGGUGUCCUACCAUAGGUAAUGAGCUCCAAAAAGCUCAUACACCAGGGAUGGAUCCUGUUCCCAGUGCCAGGGUCCCUCAAACAGACCAAACUACACAACUGUCUCCCUCAUGCAAAGGGCCUACCUGGGCCCAUGCUGGUUCCACAGCUGUUGGUCUAGAGUUUGUGAAUUCCUACGAGAUUGGUUCAGUAGGCUCUGGAGAUUUUGCAAUUAUGAUCUUGACACCUGUCACCCCCCCUGUUCAUAUAAUCCCUCUUUCUUCUCUUCAGCUGGACUCCUGGAGUUCAGCCUGGUGCUUGGCUGUGGCUCUCUGCAUCUGAUUCCAUCACUGGAUGAAGGCUCUAUGAUGACAGUUCAGGUAUUCACCUAUCUGGUAACCAGGGUAGGCCAGCUCAGGUACCCUCUCUAUAUUGCCAGUAGUCUAAGCUGGGGUCAUUCUUGUGGAUUCCUGGGAACUACUCUAGCACCAGGUUUGACUCUAUCCCAAUGAUGUCUCCUUCUAUCAAGAAAUCUCUCUCAUUGCUCUCCCACUCCAUCUCUCCCCCAGCUUGACCAUCUUGUUCCCUUAAUUUCUCAUCCCCCAUCCUCUCCCCUCUUUUCCCCCUGUCACCCCCAGUUUACUCAUGGAGAUCUCACCUUAUUUCCCCUUCCCAAAGUGAUCCAUGCAUCCUUCUUAGGGUCCUCCUUGUUAGCUAGCAUCUCUGGAGCUGUGGGUUGUAGUCUGGUUAUCCUUUGCUUUACAUCUAGUAUCCACUUAUGAGCGAGUACAUACCAUGUUUGUCUUUCUGAUUUUGAGUUACCUCACUCAGGAUGAUAUUUUCUAGUUCCAUCUAUUUGCCUGCAAAUUUUAUGAUGUCUGUUGCUAUAAGAAGGGUCAAGCAUCAGUGAUGCUUCAGUAAGUUACAUGGACAGAGAUGCCAUCCAUACUGUGAAGAUGUUUGACUGUGGGUGUCUGAAAUGAGGAUGGAGAUUUCAGGAGGCCCAGACAUGUCCAUCAGAAGAGAUUGCUUUCCUCUGUCUCCCUGAGCAUCUAUUCAUCUAUUGAGGGCCCUUCUGCCUUUUACAGUUCCCUGCACACUUCUGGUUCCUGUGACACUCUAUUCUCUGUGGUCUUCCCAUCCUUAAUUUCCAUUCUUACCUUAUUUUCACUUUAAGUUUUUUAUUUAUCCUCUAAACAAAACAAAACUUCCCACUUCAAUUUUGUCUUUAUAUAAAAGUGCCAAAUCAUGUUGUCUGCAAGUGUUUUCCUAAAACAUUUUAUCUCUGUCAUCACACAGAUUGUUCCUCUUCCUAUAGAGCUGAGAUGGCCAUAGCCUCUUGCCUCUGAGAAACUGCCUUUCUGGGGUUCUAGUUUUCCCAGGUACUCCAAGUCCCUCUUUUUCAUCCACUGUUUUGAAGACCAAUCACAGGAAAUCAUGAAGUGACAACUCUUGCAUUGCUCUCCUUGGACACUAGAGGGCAGACAAAGAUAAAGUUCCAUAAGGUGCUAGAUGAUCUCUGAGCACAGGAAGACAACUGCCUGAUAGAUCUGCUGGAGCCUGAAUUUACUGCUGGUUGCAAGGACAUUUCAGCAGAUGAACAGGGCACUUCACUAAGAGUGUUAGCUGCCAACAUCAUCAUCAUCAUCAUCAUCAUCAUCAUCAUCAUCAUCAGUUAGAAAUAUACAUAUAGCAGAGAGGAAAACUAAAACCAUAUGUGGCUAACAUAGCUAUGAACCUGUGGGGUCGAGACUUGUUGCAACAACGGAAUACUCAGAUUAACAUCCCUCCAGUCUCAGAAACAAAUCAUAAACUAGUACAUGUUUCUGAGAGAAAUAUUAGAAGAUAUUAUUCUAAAGAGUGGUCACCAGCCAUCCAUGUUAUACAAGAACAGGGCACAACAACUGAUGAUCUUCCAAAACCACCAACAACUCUACCUUUAAAAUGGUCAACAGACAAGCCUGUAUGGGUUCAGCAAUGGCCUUUAACAACAGAGAAACUCCAGGCUUUAGAAGAGCUGGUAGAAGAACAGUUAAAUGCUCAGCAUAUUGAAGAAUCAAUCAGCCCUUGGAAUUUUCCUGUAUUUGUUAUUAAAAAGAAAUCUGGUAAAUGAAGAAUGGUAACAGACCUUAGAACAAUUAACAAAGUAAUUCAGUCAAUGGGCUCUCUAAAAUCUGGAAUUCCUUUGCCUACUCUGUUACCAAAAGGAUGGCCUCUCAUAGUUAUUGAUUUAAAAGACUGUUUCUUUCUUUCUUUCUUUUUUUUUUUGGUUUUUUGAGACAGAGUUUCUCUGUGUAGCUUUGCGUCUUUCCUGGAUCUCACUCUGUAGACCAGGCUGGCCUCGAACUCGCAGAGAUCCACCUGCCUCUGCCUCCCAAGUGCUGGGAUUAAAGGCAUGUGCCACCACCGCCUGGCAAGACUGUUUCUUUUCAAUACCCUUACAAGAAAAUGACAGAGAAAGAUUUGCUUUCACAGUGCCUACUUAUAAUAAUUCUCAACUGGUUAAAAGAUUUCAAUGGAGGGUCCUCCCACAGGGAAUGUUGAAUAGCCCAACUCUGUGCCAAUAUUUUGUACAACAGCCAUUGGAAGUGGUACGUAAAAAAUUUCCUAAAUCUAUACUUUAUCAUUAUAUGGAUGAUACUUUACUAGCUGACUCAAAUGCAGAUACUUUAGAAAGAAUGUUUGAAGAAGUAAAGAAAAUUUUGCCUUGCUAGGGAUUACAAAUUGCUCCUGAAAAGAUACAAAGAGGAGAUUCUAUUAAUUAUUUAGGAUAUAAAAUAGAGCUACAAAAAAUUAGACCCCAAAAGGUGCAAAUUAGGAGAGAUAGACUACAGACUCUUAAUGACUUUCAAAGAUUAUUUGGAGACAUUUCUCAUCUAAGAACUAUUGUUGGGGUAAAAAAUGAUGAACUGAAUAAUUUGUUUAAAAUCUUAGAAGGUGACAAGGACUUAAAUAGUCCAAGAGAAUUAUCACCUGAAGCUGAGAAAGAAUUGGCCUUGGUAGAAAAGAAAGUACAUGAUGGGCACGUGGAUCAUAUUGAUCCAAAGCUGGAUUGCAUUUUGGUUAUUUUACCUUCUAGACAUUCUCCUACAGGAAUAUUAAUGCAGAGGGAAGAUAUUAUAUUGGAAUGAUAUUUUUACCAAAUAAACCAAAUAAAAAAUUAAAAACUGAUGUGGAAAAAAUCUCUGACUUGAUUUGGAAAGGAAAAUUGAGACUUCGUCAAAUAGCAGGAAUAGACCCAGCAGAAAUUGUCAUACCUUUAACUAAGGAGGACAUUGAAAAAUUAUGGACAGAAAGUGAACCUUGGCAAAAACCUUGCAGUAAUUUUUUGGGAGAAAUUAACAGCAAAUAUCCCAGAAGUGAUAGAAUUGAUCUUAUAAAGAGAGCUGAUUGGAUCUUGCCUCGAAUUGUAUGGGAAAAACCCAUAUCUGGAGUUUGUACAUUUUAUACAGAUGCCAACAAACAAGGAAAGGCAGGUUACAAAUCAGAAAAUUGAAGUAAAGUGGUUCAAAGUCCUAAUAAUUCAGUUCAAAAAUCAGAAUUGUAUGCUAUUCUGUUGGUAUUAAUGGAUUUUUCAGAACCUCUCAACGUAAUAACUGACUCUCAGUAUACUGAAAGAGUAGUAUUACAUAUUGAGACUGCAUAAUUUAUCCCUGAUGCUUCAGAAUUAACUUCACUAUUUAUUCAAUUACAAGGUACAAUCAGGAAAAGGAGUCAUCCUUUAUAUAUAACUCACAUUCGAUCCCAUACUGGUCUGCCAGGCCCUCUAGCACAAGGCAAUGAUGAGAUUGAUAAAUUAUUGAUAGGAAAUGUGCUGGAGGCCUCAGAAUUUCAUAAAAAAAUCAUGUCAAUAGUAAAGGUUUAAAAAAGGAUUUUUCCAUAACCUGGCAACAAGCCAAAGAAAUAGUAAAGAAGUGUCCUACUUGUUCCUUCCACAAUCAAACGCAAUUACCAGCAGGAUGUAACCCAAAGGGUACUCAGAGGAAUGAAAUCUGGCAGAUGGACGUGUUUCACUUUGCAGAAUUUGGAAAAUUGAAAUAUGUACAUCAUACCAUCGAUACUUAUUCAGGAUUUCAAUGGGCAACUGCUUUGAGUUCUGAAAAAGCUGAUUCUGUAAUCACUCAUUUGCUAGAAGUUAUGGCCAACAUGGGUAUACCUGCACAAAUCAAAACUGACAAUGCUCCGUCAUAUGUCUCUGUUAAAAUGAAACAGUUUUUUGCUUAUUACAAUAUAAAGCAUAUUACAGGUAUACCACAUAAUCCUAUAGGUCAAGCAGUUAUAGAAAGAUCAAACAGAACUCUAAAGGAUAUGCUAAAUAAACAGAGCGGGGUAACAAAAACCCCCAGAAAUAGACUACAUAAUGCUCUAUUAACUUUGAAUUUUCUCAAUGCCAAUGAGAAAGGAACAACAGCUGCAGAGAGACAUUGGAUAAUAGGAAAAACUACAGAAUUAAAUCAGCCUAUAUACUUUAAGGAUGUGCUGACCUCAGAAUGGAAACCAGGGUAUGUGUUACAUUGAGGACGAGGUUUUGCUUUUGUUUCUACAGAAGAAGAUAAGCUGUGGGUACCAUCAAAAUUGAUAAAGGUUCGAUUUGAACAAGAGAAACCUCUUAAUUAGAGGAGGUGAAAGUUCAUCAACCAGCAUGAACAUCCAAUUUAAACUAACUUACACCAGUAACACAUGCCUUUUCAUUUAAUCAGAUAAUAACUUGCCAAAAAGGAACAUCCCCAAAAAACCUUGGGGAACGGUUUUUGUUUUUGUCUUUUAGGAGAAUGAAGGUUAAGGAAUCUGAAGAGCACUGGACAAAUGAGACAACUGAAGAAAAGGGACAAAUCAUCUAUCCCAGGAAACAGAGUGAAAUGGCAUAUGGGUAUAUCAUCUAAAAAAUUUUAUGUCUUCCUAAAUGUAUGUUUCUGCUUUUCUCUAAAGAUUUAACACUAUUGGUCUUCUAAUAGUCCCAGUUCAAUUAAAAUUUAAAGCUGACUUUGGAGUUGGAGAAUGGCUCUCUCCUUCUUUAAACUCAAGCAUGUUGUUAAAAGGAAAAUGCAAACUCCUUGUAUCAUGCCAGAAGAAAAGAGCCAUCUUCUGCUAUGGGACAGGAGAAAAGCCAAAUUAAUUAAGGGACUAUUCUAUUACUAAUCUCAACUCUUUGAUUCUAUUCUGAUUCUUUAAACUUUCCUUAGAGUAUGAAUUUUAUAUCAAAAUUUACAAGAUUUAUAUAUAUAUAUAUAUAUAUAUAUAUUAAACUUUGUUAAGAUAUGGUCAUAUAGAGUACUAAUAAUUCUAGAAAGAAAAAAGGCUUCAAUUAGCUGCAUAUAUAUGUCUUUGUGUUCAAGUCUCUUAUCAGUUUUCUGCAGGAAAUCACGGCCAGGCCUAACAUCCACUGAAGUCUCCAGGAAGAAGAUGGGGCCCCACAACAACAACAAUUCCACAUGGACAAUAAUAACAUCACUAAUCUGACAAACAUCAUCUAUAGAUCAGCUUUGAACUACAAAGUGCUCAGAGCAAUUUUGAGAGGGCUAGCUGAAAUGAUGGAGUCUCAAAGACUACUUGAAUAAGGAUUUGAGAUAAACCCUGAACUUUGGCAUUAUACACAGACUGGAUAAUGAAGGAUAUAGUACCUUUCCUAGAAUUUGACAAUUAACCUGAAAUUUUUCUUUUCAGGAUAAAGAUACCUUUGCCCACACCCAGCAGGAAGCAAUUUUAAGAAUACGACGCCCACAUUCCCAAAGAGGUGGUGUGGAGCGGGUGGUUUUUUUGGUCUUUUGAUGGGUUUUGGGUCUGGGAUAAUUUUCAUUGAUUAGGGGGGUUGGUUACAAGUUGUUGUCAAGGGUUAGGAAAAGGGCUAAGCAAAAGAGAUUACAUUUAAGGUUCAUGUUUAAAAAAGAAAAGAAAAAGACAAUUACUAGUUUUAAAUACUUCACAUUGGAUUGGAUUGUUUUAUAUUGUAUACAAUAUAUAUAUAUAUAUAUAUUGAAAUUGAUAUUGUUAGAAAAUGCUAUAUGUAUAAUUCUAACUGUAUUUAUACCGCUCAUUUAACAAUGUAAUACAAUUUUCUGAUCCUUUCUGUUAUUAUUACCAACUAUUAGGAUAUAAAGAAAUGAAAGUUAGUAGCUAGAGAUUAUAAUAGAACUUGUAGUCAUAUUAGGUAUGUUUUCAAGAUUGAGCAGAGCAGAUAUAUUUUAGAUAGACAGGUCAUCUUCAAACCCUUCAGAGAUCUACAGAAUAUGGCAUUUAAAAUGUUUUAAUAACUUAGAAAUUUUUCUUUUUUGUUAUGACUAUGAGAUAUGCUCCUGGCAGUCCAAUCUACUUCAGAGAAAAUAUGGGCAUUGAAAAAACUGCAAUUGGAGUUAACUUUCAUUGUGGCAAAAGUUAGCCAUUGGACAACAAAGUAUCCUUGAAUCAACUGCUGACAAACAGGACAGACAGGACACGAAACAAAGGACUACUGAUUCUUGCCAAAACAAGUGUGGUUAUGGCUUUAUUAAAAGGCAUCUUCUGAGGCCAGGACAAUAUGGCACCAUCCCUGAAGUGGCCUUCACAAUCCGGAAAAGGUACAGUGCCCUUUUCUUCGAAGGCAGCUGAACAGGCAGUGGGCCAAUGGUUUCUGAUGUGCAAUGGAACAGCAGCUGAAACAGUUAUUCUUGAGUUAUUCUUGAAGAGUAAUUAAGCUCACGCCUCUUAAUAGUAGAAUGGUAUUUAAUAGAGGGAUGUGGAGAAGAAUGGGAUGCUGAGAUGAAGCCACAUACACACAUAGCCAAGAAGAAUGGACAGCUGAAUUCAAAAAACAUCAACAAUUUCCAGAAUUUAAAAUCCUGAAUCAUGACAUGACACUAGUGGAAUUCAGGUGUUUCUGGUAUAUAGACUGCUCUCACCCAAUGUGAGGUUGAACUGUUGACCUUGUGUACAUCCUACCUCACAAAUGAGUCUGUCAGAUACGCUAAGCCUAUAGGCUGAAGAUGAUGCCCCAACACUGCGGAGAAACCUCAGCUGACUGUCCAAGCAGCUGGCUGUUUCUGUCAAUUCACAAUUUUUUGGAAGUUGCUUGCAUGUACUUCCUGUUUUUAUUUUUGUUAGCUAAUAUUAUUUCCUUCUUGGGUCUCUGAGGGAGUUGAAGAUUAGUUAGUUAUAGUUGAAGAUUAAUUAGGAUAGAAAGUGAAUUAGAUACAAUAGGAUAUAUAAUGGAAUUAUUUUCUCUGAAUUUGUCAAAUACAAAUGGACUAGACAUUGUUUAGGUAUUUAUUACUUCUAUAUAUUGUAUAUAGUUAUUGUACUUUUGUAUAUAGUUUUCUUAUGUUAGUUAUAAGCUUUUUCCUUUUUUCUUUUUAUUAAAAUAGAAAAGGGGAAAUAUGGUGAUAUUUUAUUUGUACUAAAAUGUUAUUUGUAUGUUAAUAAAUAAAGUUCCCCGGGGGUCAGAGCUAUUAGCAAGCCAUAGGAAAGCCAGGCGGUGGUGGCACAUGCUUUUAAUCCCAGCACUUGGUUGGCAGAGCUAGGUAAGUCUCUGUGUGUUCAGGGAUACAGCCAGCAUUGGAUACACAUGCCUUUAAUCUUAAUACCAACCAUAGAAGACCUGGAGGUCUGUACAGACAGGCAGUGAAGAGGCGAUCAUGUGGUUGGGUUUACAACCAAUGAGAAGGCAGAACAGAAAGUCUAGAUAAAGACUUUAACACAGGAAGUAGCUCUCUUUUGGAGAGGUAGGACUACCGCAGGAGGAAGGGUAAGAUUUUAGCUCUUAGCUCUGACCUCUUAGCUUUCUUCUUUGCA